rnacentral:rRNA from 1 species
CAAUAGCGUAUAUUAAAGUUGUUGCGGUAAAAAAGCUCGUAGUUGGAUUUCUACCGAGGAUAGCCGGUCGGGUCUUCGACCUUGUAUCUGGUUUUGUCUUUGGUAUCCUCAUAGGGAACGUUUCUGCGCUUUAUUGCGUGGUGCGGUAUCUAUGACUUUUACUUUGAGGAAAUUAGAGUGUUCACGGCAGGCAAACGCCUUGAAUAUAUUAGCAUGGAAUAAUAACAUAGGAUCUUCGUCCUAUUUUGUUGGUUUCUAGGGCUAAGAUAAUGAUUAAUAGGGAUAAUUGGGGGCAUCUGUAUCAACGCGUCAGAGGUGGAAUUCUUGGAUUGCGUUGCGACAAACUACUGCGAAAGCAUUUGCCAAGGAUGUUUUCAUUGA